rnacentral:rRNA from 1 species
GAUGAACGCUGGCGGCGUGCCUAAUACAUGCAAGUCGAGCGAACAGACGAGGAGCUUGCUCCUCUGACGUUAGCGGCGGACGGGUGAGUAACACGUGGAUAACCUACCUAUAAGACUGGGAUAACUUCGGGAAACCGGAGCUAAUACCGGAUAACAUGUUGAACCGCAUGGUUCAACAGUGAAAGACGGUCUUGCUGUCACUUAUAGAUGGAUCCGCGCCGCAUUAGCUAGUUGGUAAGGUAACGGCUUACCAAGGCAACGAUGCGUAGCCGACCUGAGAGGGUGGUCGGCCACACGGGAACUGAGACACGGUCCAGACUCCUACGGGAGGCAGCAGUAGGGAAUCUUCCGCAAUGGGCGAAAGCCUGACGGAGCAACGCCGCGUGAGUGAAGAAGGUCUUCGGAUCGUAAAACUCUGUUAUUAGGGAAGAACAAAUGUGUAAGUAACUAUGCACGUCUUGACGGUACCUAAUCAGAAAGCCACGGCUAACUACGUG